rnacentral:ncRNA from 2 species
UUCGUUCAUCUUUGUUUGCAGAUAACAAUAUCUAGAUAGUUAAAUAGCUUAUAAAGACGGAAGUAGGAUUUAGAGCCGAAGGAACGCGCC